AGUCGAGAUAGUGUACAUAAUGAUAACACCACCUGGAUGACUCGGGGAUCCUUCCCGUCCCGCUAUUCCUUCUUUUCUUUCUUGAUAGCACAAUUGUGGGAACAUCCGUUUAUGCCGGAACAGGGGUGAAGAAAGCAGCAUCUCCGCCGCCAUAUCCAUAUUAAAUCCCCCCGGCCCUCCUGUUUACCUCAUUGCAGGGGUGAAAGCUGCACCAUCACUAGCGACAGAGUCAUUACGCUAAAAAUCUUAUAGUUACGGAUCGCUAAGGAAGGAGCUUACCUUGGAUGACUUGUUCCUCGCCUCAGGAUCAUCAACUGAAACUACUGAUGCUUACUCAUAUGCUGGCCGGUCCGGUUAAAUCCAAUGGAAUCCGCCUUAGUCUAUACCUAUACGGGUAGUGCUAUUCGGUUNNNN
rnacentral:lncRNA from 1 species